rnacentral:rRNA from 1 species
GGGGGGGGGGGGGGGGGGGGGGGGGGGGGGCGGGGGGGGCGGGGGCGGGGUGAGGGCUGGGUGGUACGGGUGGCGGGUGGCGGGCGGGUGGGGGGUAGGUCGGGAUCUACUUUUUCGGGGGGGCGGACGGAGGGCAACUUACGCUACUACCGCAUACGACCUCCGGGUGAAAGCCGGGGAUCUUCGGACCUUGCGCGAUUGCAUGAGCCGAUGUGGGAUUAGCUAGGUGGCGGGGUACAGGCCCACCAAGGCGACGAUCCGUAGCUGGGCUGAGAGGAGGAUCAGCCACACUGGAACUGAGACACGGUCCAGACUCCUACGGGAGGCAGCAGUGGGGAAUAUUGGACAAUGGGCGCAAGCCUGAUCCAGCCAUACCGCGUGGGUGAAGAAGGCCUUCGGGUUGUAAAGCCCUUUUGUUGGGAAAGAAAAGCAGCAGGUUAAUACCCCGCUGUUCUGACGGUACCCAAAGAAUAAGCACCGGCUAACUUCGUG